rnacentral:rRNA from 1 species
GACGAACCGUCCAAACGUUAUUCGGAAUCACUGGGCUUACAGAGUUCGUAGGCGGUCUGGAAAGUUGGGUGUGAAAUCCCUCGGCUCAACCGAGGAACUGCGCUUGAAACUACCAGACUCGAGGGAGAUAGAGGAAAGCGGAACUGAUGGCGGAGCGGUGAAAUGCGUUGAUAUCAUCAGGAACACCGGUGGCGAAGGCGGCUUUCUGGGUCUUACCUGACGCUGAGGAACGAAAGCCAGGGGAGCGAACGGG